rnacentral:ncRNA from 1 species
UUUCAGGUCUGUGGUUGAAAGUCGAUGCCAGACGCAGGCAAAGCGAUCCACUUAAGUCAGGGAAAAUUCCUGAUGAGCAUGGUGCGUUUUAGAGGUAAGUCCGUCCCCGGUCCACCGGGAGAGGAGUAGUAGUGGGGAGGCAGGGGCCUUAUGAGCGAACCUUCCAGGCGGCGAGUGUGGGGGCAAAAACCAGGUCAGCUGAA